rnacentral:rRNA from 1 species
AUUGAACGCUGGCGGCAGGCCUAACACAUGCAAGUCGAGCGGAGCAGCGGACGGGUGAGUAAUGCCUAGGAAUCUGCCUGGUGGUGGGGGAUAACGUCCGGCAACGGGCGCUAAUACCGCAUACUAUCAGAUGAGCCUAGGUCGUAUUAGCUAGGGGGUGGGGUAAAGGCCUACCAAGGGGACGAUCCGUAACUGGUCUGAGAGGAUGAUCAGUCACUGGAACUGAGACAAGGUCCAGACUCCUACGGGAGGCAGCAGUGGGGAUUAUUGGACAAUGGGCGAAAGCCUGAUCCAGCCAUGCCGCGUGUGUAAAGAAGGUCUUCGGAUUGUAAAGCACUUUAAGUUGGGAGGCGGUACCUGCAGAAUAAGCACCGGCUAACUACGUGCCAGCAGCCGCGGUAAUAC